UCAUCUAAAUGGGUUCCGACACAUCUCAUUAUAAAUAUAUGUUGAAAAAAAUUGAAAUGCGAAAACGUACGUCGCAUUUGGCCUGCGUGAGUUGCCGUAGUCGCCUGUUCGUCCUUGUUUGCAUGUUUCGUGCUGCCUACUAAGUUGUAAUAAACGACUGAAAACCUCAGGUGGGAUGUUCUGUGUCUUCAUAACAGAAGAUCAUGUUUGGAAGACGGAUUCCCUUUCAUCAGAUUGCAUUUGCUACUCUGGUUGGAGUGGUGGGAGGUGUGUAUAUCUACAGGCCUAUAUUUGAGGCACCCAGAAAACCUCCAUCUGCACCAGAUCAAGACCUCAAGCCUGACGCAGAAGAACAGAGAGCGGAAACUACCCAGCAAGCACAGCAAGAUGCAUCUGCAGCCAAAGACUGACGUCAAACUAGAGUCUGAAUGUGCCUCGGUGUUACUAAAAGAUCCUUAAUGCUGAACACUGCAAAUAAACUAAGAGAUUCUA